GACGAACGCUGGCGGCGUGCUUAACACAUGCAAGUCGAACGGAAAGGCCCUGCUUUUGUGGGGUGCUCGGGUGGCGAACGGGUGAGUAACGCGUGAGUAACCUGCCCUUGACUUUGGGAUAACUUCAGGAAACUGGGGCUAAUACCGGAUAGGAGCUCCUGCUGCAUGGUGGGGGUUGGAAAGUUUCGGCGGUUGGGGAUGGACUCGCGGCUUAUCAGCUUGUUGGUGGGGUAGUGGCUUACCAAGGCUUUGACGGGUAGCCGGCCUGAGAGGGUGACCGGCCACAUUGGGACUGAGGUACGGCCCAGACUCCUACGGGAGGCAGCAGUGGGGAAUAUUGCACAAUGGGCGGGAGCCUGAUGCAGCAACGCCGCGUGCGGGAUGACGGCCUUCGGGUUGUAAACCGCUUUCGCCUGUGACGAAGCGUGAGUGACGGUAAUGGGUAAAGAAGCACCGGCUAACUACGUG
rnacentral:rRNA from 1 species